AUUGAACGCUGGCGGCAGGCCUAACACAUGCAAGUCGAGCGGCUGCACGGAGCUUGCUUCUGGAUUCAGGUGCGGACGGGCGGGUGAUUCCUAGGUACCUCCCUGGUUGUUGGGGCUAACGUCAGAACGCGGGGGCUCAUACCCCAUACCUCCAUACGGCGAACGUGGGGGAUCUUCGGACCUUCCGCCCUCACGUGAUCCGAGGUCGGAUUAGCUAGUUGGCGGGGUAAAGGCCUACCAAGGCGACGAUCCGUAGCUGGUCUGAGAGGAUGAUCAGUCACACUGGAACUGAGACACGGUCCAGACUCCUACGGGAGGCAGCAGUGGGGAAUAUUGGACAAUGGGCGAAAGCCUGAUCCAGCCAUGCCGCGUGGGUGAAGAAGGUCUUCGGAUUGUAAAGCACUUUAAGUGGGGAAGAAAAGCAGUAAGUUAAUACCUUGCUGUUUUGACGGUACCAAAAGAAUAAGCACCGGCUAACUUCGUG
rnacentral:rRNA from 1 species